rnacentral:rRNA from 1 species
GACGAACGCUGGCGGCGUGCCUAAUACAUGCAAGUCGAGCGAGCUUGCCUAGAUGAAUUUGGUGCUUGCACCAAAUGAAACUAGAUACAAGCGAGCGGCGGACGGGUGAGUAACACGUGGGUAACCUGCCCAAGAGACUGGGAUAACACCUGGAAACAGAUGCUAAUACCGGAUAACAACACUAGACGCAUGUCUAGAGUUUAAAAGAUGGUUCUGCUAUCACUCUUGGAUGGACCUGCGGUGCAUUAGCUAGUUAGUAAGGUAACGGCUUACCAAGGCAAUGAUGCAUAGCCGAGUUGAGAGACUGAUCGGCCACAUUGGGACUGAGACACGGCCCAAACUCCUACGGGAGGCAGCAGUAGGGAAUCUUCCACAAUGGACGCAAGUCUGAUGGAGCAACGCCGCGUGAGUGAAGAAGGGUUUCGGCUCGUAAAGCUCUGUUGGUAGUGAAGAAAGAUAGAGGUAGUAACUGGCCUUUAUUUGACGGUAAUUACUUAGAAAGUCACGGCUAACUACGUGCCAGCAGCCGCGGUAAUACGUAGGUGGCAAGCGUUGUCCGGAUUUAUUGGGCGUAAAGCGAGUGCAGGCGGUUCAAUAAGUCUGAUGUGAAAGCCUUCGGCUCAACCGGAGAAUUGCAUCAGAAACUGUUGAACUUGAGUGCAGAAGAGGAGAGUGGAACUCCAUGUGUAGCGGUGGAAUGCGUAGAUAUAUGGAAGAACACCAGUGGCGAAGGCGGCUCUCUGGUCUGCAACUGACGCUGAGGCUCGAAAGCAUGGGUAGCGAACAGG